AACGAACGCUGGCGGCAGGCUUAACACAUGCAAGUCGAGCGCCCCGCAAGGGGAGCGGCAGACGGGUGAGUAACGCGUGGGAAUCUACCCAUCUCUACGGAAUAACGCAUGGAAACGUGUGCCAAUACCGUAUACGUCCUUCGGGAGAGGGAUUUAUCGGAGAUGGAUGAGCCCGCGUUGGAUUAGCUAGUUGGUGGGGUAAAGGCCUACCAAGGCGACGAUCCAUAGCUGGUCUGAGAGGAUGAUCAGCCACACUGGGACUGAGACACGGACCAGACUCCUACGGGAGGCAGCAGUGGGGAAUAUUGGACAAUGGGCGCAAGCCUGAUCCAGCCAUGCCGCGUGAGUGAUGUAGGCCCUAGGGUUGUAAAGCUCUUUCACCGGUGAAGAUAAUGACGGUAACCGGAGAAGAAGCCCCGGCUAACUUCGUGCCAGCCGCCGCCGUAAAAC
rnacentral:rRNA from 1 species